UGGCAAAGCCGGUGCGGCCCCUGCUAAUUACAUAAGCGGGGACGUCAAUAAUUCGCGGGAAAACGCGAAAAAGAUGGCGCCCCGCGCCCGGGGGGCCCCUUCCUGAGCUCACCGGCCCCUCCCUCCCCGCGUCCCCUCCUCCCCGCGGCGCCCCCGCCCCGCCCCGCCCCCGCCGAGACCCCUACCCCGGCCCCAGGGGCGGACACUCGGCCAGGCAGCCCUGGGCCGAGCGCACCGCCGCCGCCGAUGUGCCUGGUGGCCAGACUCCAAGUGGGACCGGCUGACGCGCUGCCUCGCGAAGCUAAUGGAGACUCAAGCUCUGGAACCAGGGACUCUGGAAGCCUUUGGUGCCACCAGUCCUAACAAGGGGGGCCUGUCUAAGACCAAAAAGAACUUCAAAGACUUGAUGUCUAAGGUGACAGAGGGACAGUUCGUGCUAUGCAGGUGGACAGACGGGCUAUAUUACCUUGGCAAGAUCAAGCGGGUCAGCAGUCCUAAGCAAAGCUGCCUUGUGACUUUUGAAGAUAAUUCCAAAUACUGGGUCCUGUGGAAGGACAUCCAGCAUGCUGGUGUUCCGGGAGAGGAGCCCAAGUGUGACGUCUGCAUGGGGAAGACUUCAGGGCCUAUGAACGAGAUCCUCAUCUGUGGGAAGUGUGGCCUGGGUUACCACCAACAGUGCCACAUCCCCAUCGCAGUUGAUGCCAACUGGCCCCUCCUCACUCAUUGGUUCUGCCGACGCUGCAUUUUCGCACUGGCUGUGAGGAAAGGUGGCGCUUUGAAGAAAGGCGCCAUCGCCAAGACGCUGCAGGCAGUGAAAAUGGUGCUGUCCUACCAGCCGGAGGAACUCGAUUGGGACUCGCCCCAUCGCACUAACCAGCAGCAAUGCUACUGCUACUGCGGCGGGCCUGGAGAGUGGUACCUUCGGAUGCUACAGUGCUACCGGUGUAGGCAGUGGUUCCAUGAGGCUUGCACACAGUGCCUUAGUGAGCCUAUGGUGUUUGGAGACCGCUUCUACCUGUUCUUCUGCUCCGUGUGUAACCAAGGCCCAGAGUAUAUUGAGAGGCUGCCCUUGCGAUGGGUGGAUAUAGUUCACCUGGCUCUCUAUAACUUGGGAGUACAGAGCAAGAAGCGGUACUUUGACUUUGAGGAGAUCCUGGCCUUUGUCAACCAUCACUGGGAGCUCCUGCAGCUUGGCAAGCUCACCAGCACCCCCAUGACAGAACGAGGGCCACAUCUCCUCAACGCUCUCAACAGUUACAAGAGCCGGUUCCUGUGUGGCAAGGAAAUUAAGAAGAAGAAAUGCAUCUUCCGACUGCGCAUCCGAGUCCCGCCUGCCCCUCCAGGAAAACUGCUUCCCGACAGGGCGUUGAUGCCAAGUGACAAAGGGACCUCCGAGCUGCUUCGUAAGAAAGGAAAGAGCAAGCCUGGUUUGUUGCCUCAGGAACCCCAGCAGCAGAAAAGAGUGACUUCACCUCAGCCUGGAGCACAGACCACCACCUAGCCAGUAUAUUCGACUUCACACUGGAUGAAAUUCAGAGUUUAAAAAGUGGCAGCUCAGGCCAGACCUUCUUCUCAGAUGUGGAUUCUACCGACGCAGCCAGCACCUCGGGGUCUGCCUCCACCAGCCUCUCCUACGACUCCAGAUGGACGGUAGGCAGCCGCAAGAGGAAGCUGACAGCCAAAGUGCACAGGCCCCUGCGAGCAAAGCAAAGGGCGGCGGAGCUGGAGGGGCGCUGCGCCUCAGACAGCAAUGCAGAGGGAGCUGUGGGUCCUGAGCAGCCGGAUGAAGGCAUCGACAGCCACACACUUGAAAGCAUCAGUGGAGACGACUCGUCCCUGUCCCACCUCAAGUCCUCUAUCACCAACUACUUUGGUGCAGCUGGGCGGUUGGCCUGCGGGGAAAAAUAUCGGGUGUUGGCGCGGAGGGUCACUCCAGAAGGCAAGGUUCAGUACCUGUUGGAAUGGGAGGGGACCACCCCUUACUGAUUACCCUCAGAGGCUGCCCAGAUCCCUGCAAACCAAAGGAGGGGCAGAAGAGGCCACUGGGUCCCUGUUUUCGCCAGGCUUGGGGUGGUGGUGGUGAAACAGGACAUCCUGCCUGUGGCCCCUGCCUGCUGCCUGCCAGGCCAAGGCCUGUGUGCUGCUGUACCUGAGUCUCUGAGACCCCAUUGGUAUUCUCUCGUUGUCAAUACUACACUCCACACCCCUCAAACUUUUUAUUGGUUCCUCUGACAGUAUCCUGGCUCCAACCCCUGGAUCUGUUUUUUGUUGUCCCCAAUUCUCCAUCUUCUGCCCUCUCACCCCUUUCAGGUGUUUUGUGUGGACACACAUCUUCCACGGGCAUACACCCAUCUGUCCCUCACUGGGCAUGCUUCACUGGGUCCUCACUAGGACCACAGUGAGGGAAGGGAACCUUGGGGGUCUUCUGCUUUCUCACUAGUACCCCUCACCCCAGGAAGGUAGGGGGUGCCUGAGAAAGUUUAGGAUGCCUAGGACCCAGAGUCUGGGGAGUGGUGAGCUGGGUCUCUGCAGAAGGGACAAGAAUCAGGGUCUUUUAUUGAGGAGGGGAGACUAAGGAAGUCAGGCAGGGCCAAGGUUUCCAGAAGUUUGCCUGUCCCAGCAACAACCCUUUACUGUUGUCAAGGAUUGGGACCUGGCCCUGCUGCAUAGACGUGUCUUAAACACACAGAUCUGGGAGGAAAGGAUGGGGAAGAAGACUAAGCCAGAUUAAAUCCCAUCCCAAACACUGUGUGUACAGCCACCACCUACUCCUGCCAGGGCCCCCUGGCCCCCCGUCCUUGGCCUCUUCCAGGGAUACAUGCUGCAGUUAAAUGUGAGAACCAAACCCCUGCCUCCUCUGGCCUGUGAAGCAGCCUUGGCCCCACAGAGAAGCACAAAAUAUACCCCUCUCCUGCAUGGCUCCUGCCUUGCCCUGGAGCUGACAAUCACUUUGGGGACAGGUUUGGAGUUUACAAGGGCCUGAAUCGUUGGUUCCCUUCAGAAAGGAAGGCUUUGUCAUCAAUGGUACAAAUAGAAUUCUUAGAAUGGUCAAGCUUAGCCGUGUCUGGGGAGAAACCAGGAGGUGGGCAGGGAGCCCUUACUUUGCCUACAGAAACAGAAAUUGACUCACUCAGUUGGAGAAAUGGAAAGAACUGCCAUUGAAGUGGGAGGCAAGGGCACCAGACUGAGACUAGCCUCCCUGACUGCUGCUGUAGCUUCCAGCUGGGGGUGGGAAGAUGGACCACAUGGUGACAUCAGACUAUACCAAAGGUGCUGAUAUUCCCAUGACUAGGUCUGACCCCUUCACACCUUCCCGUGAGCAUUAAGGAGGGUCCCUGCAGUAGGUUAGAUGUCCCCUGCCUUAAACCUCAGCCACCAUGGUGCCUUGCAAAGAAACCUCGCCUCUCAUAGACACAGCUACCUACUUCCCUCUGCCUUCCUGUCUGGGCUCAGGCAGGGAUAAGCAGAUGGACACUGGGCCCAGUUGUCAGUCCCACAGCUGCCGCCACUGAGGUCCCAAAGUGGGGCCUGGUGGAAGGAGAGUUGGGAAGCCAACUCCUAGGCUUGUGGGAACUGGGGUCAAAUUUGUGGCUUCCUGUUGGCUUCAGUGAACAUGGCAACCUCCAACACGUGUUUUCCAGGCCACUGGGGAAGCCAGAGUUAGGAUGGCUAUCUGUACAUCUGCCCCUCCUCUGCUGUGCCCCAGAAGCUCUGGGCCUGAGGAGCAGGAAGGCAGGAGGGGUGCCCGUCCCGUUGGGGAUCCUAGCACAAGGCCUGACCAGGUCCCUGGACUUCCCAUGGCAGCAUUUCACUCCUACAAAAUAAUAGCUGCAUUACUGCCAACUGAUGGUAUAACCCUGUGCACCUUUGAAAAGAUUUUGGUUUUAAAUUGCUGCUUUUAAUAAUAUUUGUUAUAUUAAAGUUAUAAUUGAUGUGUCUGGUUUACAAUGUAA